rnacentral:rRNA from 1 species
GACGGAGGAUGCAAGUGUUAUCCGGAAUCACUGGGCGUAAAGCGUCUGUAGGUGGUUUAAAAAGUCUACUGUUAAAAAUUGAAGCUUAACUUCAAAGAUGCCGUAGAAACUUUUAAACUCGAGGAUGGUAGGGGUAGAGGGAAUUUCCAGUGGAGCGGCGAAAUGCGUAGAUCUUGGAAAGACCACCAAUGGCGAAAGCACUCUGCUGGGCCGACACUGACACUGAGAGACGAAAGCUAGGGGAGCGAAUGGG